CCUACGGGUGGCUGCAGUGGGGAAUAUUGGACAAUGGGCGCAAGCCUGAUCCAGCAAUGCCGCGUGAGUGAUGAAGGCCUUAGGGUUGUAAAGCUCUUUCGCACGCGACGAUGAUGACGGUAGCGUGAGAAGAAGCCCCGGCUAACUUCGUGCCAGCAGCCGCGGUAAUACGAAGGGGGCUAGCGUUGUUCGGAAUUACUGGGCGUAAAGCGCGCGUAGGCGGUUAUUUAAGUUAGACGUGAAAGCCCUGGGCUUAACCUGGGAAUUGCGUUUAAUACUGGAUAGCUAGAGUUUGUGAGAGGGUAGCGGAACUCCCAGUGUAGAGGUGAAAGUCGUAGAUAUUGGGAAGAACACCGGUGGCGAAGGCGGCUACCUGGCGCAACACUGACGCUGAGGCGCGAAAGCGUGGGGAUCAAACAGGAUUAGAUACCCGUGUAGUC
rnacentral:rRNA from 1 species